rnacentral:rRNA from 1 species
UAAGGAAUAUUGGUCAAUGGACGCAAGUCUGAACCAGCCAUGCCGCGUGGAGGAUGAAGGUCCUCUGGAUUGUAAACUUCUUUUAUCUGGGAAGAAAUCCACGAAUUCUUUUGUGGUUGACGGUACCAGAUGAAUAAGCACCGGCUAACUCCGUGCCAGCAGCCGCGGUAAUACGGAGGGUGCAAGCGUUAUCCGGAUUCACUGGGUUUAAAGGGUGCGUAGGUGGGCAGGUAAGUCAGUGGUGAAAUCUCCGGGCUUAACUCGGAAACUGCCAUUGAUACUAUCUGUCUUGAAUACCGUGGAGGUCAGCGGAAUAUGUCAUGUAGCGGUGAAAUGCUUAGAUAUGACAUAGAACACCAAUUGCGAAGGCAGCUGGCUACACGAAUAUUGACACUGAUGCACGAAAGCGUGGGGAUCAAACAGGAUUAGAUACCCGCGUAGUCC